rnacentral:lncRNA from 1 species
GCAAAUUUUAAAUUUUGGUGUUCUGUCUGCUUGGCGUAGAUUUAAUCAGGUUAGUGGGUCUCUAGAAGGCCCAAGUUUAGGUUAAAAUCUGGUAAUUUUAGUUAAUUUUAAUUCUAUAGAAAAAGGGGUUCUGGUUAGCUGGGCUUUAAGGUAUUAAUUGGGUAAAAUAAAACACAAGGAAGCCCGUGGUAAGUUGGCUUGUGGCGUCACUUGGGGGCUUGAGAGGUGGC